GGAGUCAACUGUAUAUUGCUUCCUUUGAAAUAAUGUAUGACUGUAAUAAAGUUUAAAGAAUAAAGAAAACGUUUCCCUUGUGGUACUAUCAGUGGGACAAGGGUGACUCUGAUCCCCAUAAGGGAAAAUGAUGACCAUCUAAUGAAAAAAUGUAUAUUGCUUCUAUAGCUUCUGUUUUUAGCCCCCAGGUGCCAUUGGCGACCUGGGCUAUCUUAUUGAAUAAAAUAUUGCUUUUCGUCUUCAAUUGUUUUAUAUGCUGAUUCCAGCUCAACCUAUUGUCUAUGGUCACACCCAGGUGUUUUCAUGUGUUUUACUACUUCAAUCUUUUCACUUCCCAUCUUAAUGAUUGGAGGCCUUUUCUGUAGGACUGAUGAAAAUUUCUUAGCAAAUAUCAUCGCAUUGGUUUUCUUUGAAUUGAAGAGCAGUUUGUUCUCUUUUCUCCACUGGACAAUUCUUCCAGUAGGCCUCUGCAUUCUAUCUCAAUGUGCCUAUCAGAAUGUCCUGGGCAAACCACCAUGAUAUCAUUGGCAUAUGCCGUACAUCUAAUCCCUCUCCUUAGUAUUUUAUGUAUAAUGAUGUCAAAUUGGAUUAUCCAAAAACUUGGCCCUGACUUCCAGCCCUGCGAACAUUCUCUUUCCAGUGUCUUUUCAACAUUGAAGUAAUUUGAAAUAUACCUUGCCUUUCUCUCGUUAAAAUAGUUCUUCGCUAGUUCGUACAAGUUCCUUGGACAAUGAUUUAUCUUUAAUUGAUGUAGAAUAAUCUGCCACCAUGCACUAUCAAAAGCUCCUUUAAUGUCCAAGCUUAUAGACACAGCGUACUUGGGCUCUUGUAGCACUUCUCUUAUGUCCUGUAUCACUUUGUUUAUUGCAUUGUCAAUGGCCGACACAAAACGAAUUUCAAAAAUGGUUACCACUUGUUUGAGACAGUGUUGCUAUCUUUUCAAAAUUGAAAAGGUGGAACACUGCCUCACUCCAGAUAAGGCGCAGGACCCCUCGACCUUUAACCGAAAUUUAAUAGCAUUAAUUCUUCUAAUUCACAAACCUCCCUGUAAAAUUUCAGAAAUUUUCAACAAAAGACACAGGAGCUAUUAACUUUAAAGUGGGUAAUUAAAUUACGCUUCACCACGCGUACAAGCUUACUCACUGAAACUCACAAACUAACAUCCAUACCUACAGAAUAAACUCCAUAUUUUUGCAUUUAUUGACGUUUCAAGAUAUGCCAGUUCAAAAAUUUAAAAAUAUUGGGGGACCAGUUUUUUACCUCCGGCAGUACUUUCCCCGUUAUAUGUAACAGCCAGGAAAGUAAAAUUAAUAAACUAAAACUUUAUAUACUUUAUUAGUAUAAUUUAAACAAGUUCAAAUUUUAAUGUUUGCGUGGACACCAAAAUAUAGAUUAAAAAAUUACAUAUUUUUAAGAUUUAGCCUGUAGAUUGCGCGCAUAUAUAAACCCAUAUAAAAAUGCAUCUUUUGCAUAAAAAGACAAAGUACGUACAGUACUUUGUUUAAAGUUUGCAGAACUACUCUGGUAAUCGUAAAGACACAUUAGAUGGGUAUUCCGAUUCCACGGUCCAGCAUAUAUCUGUAUAUUUAUAUAGUCAAUUGGCUGUAACUUUCUGCAGGUUUCCACAAAGGAUAAAAGAAUAUAUUUAAUAGCGUACGGUGACCAGACGGCCACUCUGUUUCGUGCACCGAGAUAGGACAAACGGACUUUAUACGUACAGUACAAUGUAUAUUCUUCCGGGAAGGUUGGCAGAGAUAGAUAGGAAAUAAAAUAUUGUAUUAUUUUCAAAUUGUUGUGCAUUUAUAAAUGUGACAUCGCGUGUCAUAUAUUUUUGAGUCGCAAUCUGAAAAUUUAUGAAUAUUUUUUAUUUUUAGAAAAAGCAGCAAUAUGGGAAUUUGAUCGCUAAGUUGAGGAAAAAAAUUCAGUUACUGGAAGCUAAAGUUUCGGAGUUAGAGACAGAAAACCAAGUCUUACAGAAGAACGUUUCGCCGGAAGCGCACGCCGCGCUGAAGAAACAGUUUUGUCAGCUGCGCAGAGAACGCGAUGCCCUGUUGGCCGGCCGGGAGGCCCGCCGUCCGACCCCAGCCGGCGACCGGUCUUCUCCCGAAGGAUGAACGGCGCCGACGACAAAUUUGGAGAGGAGGAAGAUGCCGCCGUUCGCUGCCCGAGAGACGAUCCGGCGGAAAUCUGGCUUUCUGGCCAUAAAUUCUCGGCCGGCCCAAUCUCUACGUAUUUACCCAACACCCGGUCUCGUUUAAUAGCUACGGACGUCGGGUUUGCGCCAAACCCGGGCCUAUUCCGAUUGUAAUGUCGAAUUUGCCGG